GGCNNUCUNAGGUGACUGNCGGUGACAAACCGGAGGAAGGUGGGGAUGACGUCAAAUCAUCAUGCCCCUUAUGACCUGGGCUACACACGUGCUACNAUGGACAGUUNCAAAGGGCAGCGAAACCGCGAGGUUAAGCCAAUCCCACAAAUCUGUUCUCAGUUCGGAUCGCAGUCUGCAACUCGACUGCGUGAAGCUGGAAUCGCUAGUAAUCGCGGAUCAGCAUGCCGCGGUGAAUACGUUCCCGGGCCUUGUACACACCGCCCGUCACACCACGAGAGUUUGUAACACCCGAAGUCGGUGAGGUAACCUUUAUGGAGCCAGCCGCCGAAGGUGGGACAGAUGAUUGGGGUGAAGUCGAACAAGGAGCCGNUCGA
rnacentral:rRNA from 1 species